rnacentral:rRNA from 1 species
UAGGGAAUCUUCCGCAAUGGACGCAAGUCUGACGGAGCAACGCCGCGUGAGUGAAGAAGGAUUUCGGUUCGUAAAACUCUGUUGUUAGAGAAGAACAGCGCAUAGAGUAACUGUUAUGCGUGUGACGGUAUCUAACCAGAAAGCCACGGCUAACUACGUGCCAGCAGCCGCGGUAAUACGUAGGUGGCAAGCGUUGUCCGGAUUUAUUGGGCGUAAAGCGAGCGCAGGCGGUCAAUUAAGUCUGAUGUGAAAGCCCCCGGCUCAACCGGGGAGGGUCAUUGGAAACUGGUUGACUUGAGUGCAGAAGAGGAGAGUAGAAUUCCGUGUGUAGCGGUGAAAUGCGUAGAUAUAUGGAGGAACACCAGUGGCGAAGGCGACUCUCUGGUCUGUAACUGACGCUGAGGCUAGAAAGCGUGGGUAGCAAACAGG